CCGGCACGGGUGAGUAACACGUAUGCAAUCCACCUGUAACAGGGGGAUAACCCGGAGAAAUCCGGACUAGUACCCCAUAAUAUGGGCGCUCCGCAUGGAGAGCCCAUUAAAGAGAGCAAUUUUGGUUACAGACGAGCAUGCGCUCCAUUAGCCAGUUGGCGGGGUAACGGCCCACCAAAGCGACGAUGGAUAGGGGUUCUGAGAGGAAGGUCCCCCACAUUGGAACUGAGACACGGUCCAA
rnacentral:rRNA from 1 species